GAUGCCACCAGAAGCUAAAAUGUGCAUGAAGAACAUUGGAAGGGAUACUCCAACUUCAGUAGGACCAAAUUCUUCCAACCAAGGAAAGCCUGGGUUUUCUGACAACCAGAAGUUAUGAGAACGGAACAUGAAAUAUCACCUUGGAAAUGUCUGUGAACAUGAUGACUAGUUGUGUAUUGAGAUCUGAGUGUUGGGAGAAAUGGGAGGGUAUGAUAUUAACGGAACAAUUUCCUUUUUUAGAGUGGUGUAUGGCUAUUUUGGGUGCCACUUUAAAAUAUUUCUAAGUGGUGCACAAAAAACUGAGUUUAAAAGUAGAGGUAAUUUAUGUUUUGUAUAUAGAUUUCAAAGCAUUUGCUAAUUUUGUAGCUUCAUGCCAUUAAUUUCACAAGGUUAUGGUAUAAUUUUUUUUUUAUUAAAAAAGCACACAUCAUGAUGUCACACCACAUGUGACGUCAUGAUGUCGCCUAUACUGGGCACCCAGAACCUGGGGCCCACGUUGGCUCCCCUGAUCUUCACUCUGUUCCCACAGCUGCACAGGUAGCUGUAUUUAUUUUUCUUUUGUAAUAAAAUGAAGCUGUGAAGUUC